UAUCUCUGUAGAGUCUGCAUAUCAAUAAGCGGAGGAAAAGAAACUAACAAGGAUUCCCUUAGUAACGGCGAGUGAAGCGGGAAGAGCUCAAAUUUGAAAUCUUCAAGGUUCUACCUUGACGAAUUGUAGUUUAAAGAAGUGUUUUCUGUUAGAAGUUCGAGUACAAAAGUUCCUUGGAAUAGGACAUCAUAGAGGGUGAGAAUCCCGUAUUUGACGUUAUUCAUUCUAGCUGUGUGAUACACUUUCAAAGAGUCGGAUUGUUUGGGAAUGCAGUCCAAAAUGGGUGGUAAAUUUCAUCUAAAGCUAAAUAUUGGCGAGAGACCGAUAGCGAACAAGUACCGUGAGGGAAAGAUGAAAAGAACUUUGAAAAGAGAGUUAAACAGUACGUGAAAUUGUCAAAAGGGAAGCGUUUGACACCAGUGUUGUUUUUCCGAAAAUCAAUUACGAAUGGCUUGAUUCUGUGUUGUAUUGACCUUAUCAGCUUUCUUCACUUUUUUCGAGUCUUUCUUAAUGCACUUUUCGGUUAACAAGUCAACAUCAAUUUCUUUUGUUGUAAAAGAGUAUUCGGAAGGUGGCUUUCUUUUCGGAGAAAGUGUUUAUAGCCCUAUACUUCUACAAUCGGAGAGAUUGAGGUCUGCAGCGUAGAUCCUUCGGGGUUAGAUACAUUUGUGCUAAGUUUACAACGUUUCAUAGACAACUUGUUGACUAUAUUUAGAUCAUGUCGCUUACUCGCUUAUGCUAAUUUUACCUACGCUUAGGAUGUUGAAGAUGUAGCACAUCAU
rnacentral:rRNA from 1 species